GUGUAAAUUUAACUGAGAGAUUGUUAGCAACUCCCUGCGAAAGGACGAGACCUAGGAAUUUCCUAUAAACUUUAUGUUAAAUGCAACCACUCUCACAAGUUUUUUU
rnacentral:ncRNA from 1 species